rnacentral:rRNA from 1 species
UACGAAGGGGGCUAGCGUUGCUCGGAAUUACUGGGCGUAAAGCGCACGUAGGCGGCUUCUUAAGUCGGUGGUGAAAUCCUGGAGCUCAACUCCAGAACUGCCUUCGAUACUGGGAAGCUCGAGUCCGGGAGAGGUGAGUGGAACUGCGAGUGUAGAGGUGAAAUUCGUAGAUAUUCGCAAGAACGCCAGUGGCGAAGGCGGCUCACUGGCCCGGUACUGACGCUGAGGUGCGAAAGCGUGGGGAGCAAACAGG